rnacentral:rRNA from 1 species
UUGGAAGUAUCAGCAUUUAACUGAUCUCAGUUGAUCUUGGAAGCAAAGCAGGACUGAGCUUGGUUAGCACUUGGAUGGGAGACCACCUGGUAAUAACAGGUGGUAUAUUCAGU